rnacentral:rRNA from 1 species
AACGAACGCUGGCGGCAUGCCUAACACAUGCAAGUCGAACGAGACCUUCGGGUUUAGUGGCGCACGGGUGCGUAACGCGUGGGAACCUGCCCUUAGGUUCGGAAUAACUCCCCGAAAGGGGUGCUAAUACCGGAUAAUGUCUUCGGACCAAAGAUUUAUCGCCUUUGGAUGGGCCCGCGUUGGAUUAGCUAGUUGGUAGGGUAAAAGCCUACCAAGGCGACGAUCCAUAGCUGGUCUGAGAGGAUGAUCAGCCACACUGGGACUGAGACACGGCCCAGACUCCUACGGGAGGCAGCAGUGGGGAAUAUUGGACAAUGGGCGAAAGCCUGAUCCAGCAAUGCCGCGUGAGUGAUGAAGGCCUUAGGGUUGUAAAGCUCUUUUACCCGGGAUGAUAAUGACAGUACCGGGAGAAUAAGCUCCGGCUAACUCCGUG